rnacentral:rRNA from 1 species
GAGCUCGGCAAGGCUACCCGCUGAACUUAAGCAUAUCAUAGCGGAGAGAGAAACUACUAGAUGCGCUAGUACGCAAGCGACGCGCAAGGCACCUGGAAAUCUCCUGAGAUUGUAGUCUUAUAGAAAGUACCCCUUUGGCGACGGCCGAGCUCAAGUCCUUCCUG